rnacentral:rRNA from 1 species
CAUCCAACGCGGAGUUUGAUCAUGGCUCAGAUUGAACGCUGGCGGAAUGCUUUACACAUGCAAGUCGAACGGCAGCACGGGGGCAACCCUGGUGGCGAGUGGCGAACGGGUGAGUAAUACAUCGGAACGUGCCCAGUCGUGGGGGAUAACUACGCGAAAGCGUAGCUAAUACCGCAUACGAUCUACGGAUGAAAGCGGGGGAUCGCAAGACCUCGCGCGAUUGGAGCGGCCGAUGGCAGAUUAGGUAGUUGGUGAGGUAAAGGCUCACCAAGCCUUCGAUCUGUAGCUGGUCUGAGAGGACGACCAGCCACACUGGGACUGAGACACGGCCCAGACUCCUACGGGAGGCAGCAGUGGGGAAUUUUGGACAAUGGGCGCAAGCCUGAUCCAGCCAUUCCGCGUGCAGGAUGAAGGCCCUCGGGUUGUAAACUGCUUUUGUACGGAACGAAAAAGCCCUUUCUAAUACAGAGGGUCCAUGACGGUACCGUAAGAAUAAGCACCGGCUAACUACG